UACGUAGGGGGCUAGCGUUGUCCGGAAUCAUUGGGCGUAAAGCGCGUGUCGGCGGUCCGGUAAGUCCGCUGUGAAAGUCGGGGGCUCAACCCUCGGAUGCCGGUGGAUACUGUCGGGCUUGAGUCCGGAAGAGGCGAGUGGAAUUCCUGGUGUAGCGGUGAAAUGCGCAGAUAUCAGGAGGAACACCAAUUGCGAAGGCAGCUCGCUGGGACGUUACUGACGCUGAGACGCGAAAGCGUGGGGAGCAAACAGG
rnacentral:rRNA from 1 species